rnacentral:rRNA from 1 species
UACGUAGGGGGCAAGCGUUGUCCGGAUUUAUUGGGCGUAAAGAGCGUGUAGGCGGUCCGGUAAGUCCGUUGUGAAAGUCAGGGGCUCAACCCUUGAAUGCCGGCGGAUACUGUCGGGCUAGAGUCCGGAAGAGGCAAGUGGAAUUCCCGGUGUAGCGGUGAAAUGCGCAGAUAUCGGGAGGAACACCUAUGGCGAAGGCAGGUCUCUGGGCCACUACUGACGCUGAGAAGCGAAAGCGUGGGGAGCGAACAGG